CCAGCUCUUGACAUCCACGGAAGUUUCUAGAGAUAAAAAGGUGCCUUCGGGAACCGUGAGACAGGUGCUGCAUGGCUGUCGUCAGCUCGUGUCGUGAAAUGUUGGGUUAAGUCCCGCAACGAGCGCAACCCUUAUCCUUAGUUGCCAGCGGUCCGGGCGGGAAAUCAAAAGAGAAAGGCAGUGAUAAAAUGGAGGAAAGGGGGGAUUAACUUCAGUCCUCAAGGCCCCUAACAGCAGGGGUAAAAAAGUGUGAAAAAGGCGCAUAAAAAAAGAAGGGCACUCCCGAGAGGCGGCGGACCC
rnacentral:rRNA from 1 species